rnacentral:rRNA from 1 species
AGAGUUGAUCAUGGCUCAGAACGAACGCUGGCGGCGCGUUUAAGCAUGCAAGUCGAGCGGCAAGGGCCUUCGGGCCCCUAGAGCGGCGGACGGGUGAGUAACACGUGGACAAUCUGCCCCCCGGCCCGGGAUAGCCCAGGGAAACCUGGAUUAAUACCGGAUGAGACGGGACCCGCGAUGGCGGGAUCCGGGAAAGGCGCUGCGGCGCCGCCGGGGGAUGAGUCUGCGUCCCAUUAGCUAGACGGCGGGUAACGGCCCACCGUGGCGACGAUGGGUAGCCGGCCUGAGAGGGUGGACGGCCACAUUGGAACUGAGACACGGUCCAGACUCCUACGGGAGGCAGCAGCUAAGAAUCUUCCGCAAUGGGCGAAAGCCUGACGGAAGCGACGCCGCGUGAACGAAGAAGGCCGUGAGGUUGUAAAGUUCUUUUCGGGAGGGGGAACAACCGUGGCAGGGAAUGGCCGCGGGAUGACGUGAAUCCCGGAAUAAGCCCCGGCUAACUACGUGCCAGCCGCCGC